rnacentral:lncRNA from 1 species
GCUGGAUUUCUGACCCUGGAUGGAAGGCGCUGGAUUUCUGACCCUGGAUGGAAGGAGCUGGAUUUCUGACCCUGGAUGGAAGGCGCUGGAUUUCUGACCCUGGAUGGAAGGCGCUGGAUUUCUGACCCUGGAUGGAAGGAGCUGGAUUUCUGGCCCUGGAUGGAAGGAGCUGGAUUUUUGGCCCUGGCUUGACUGAGUGUGGUGUCAGGCCCUGAGCUGGGUGAGGGGAGGAAGAGCCGGUAUGGGAAGAUGUUGAGUUAUGUAGACAAGUGAGUGUAAGGGGUGCCCUCAUUCGCCAUCACAGUGGCUGAUGUGUCCUCUGCAUGCUGGUCUCUCCCUCCAGUCAUCAGUGAAGGCUGACGGAGGGGAGGGGCUGCGUGGGAUUUCCACAGUCUCCCCUCACUGGAGG